CAUUUAGAGGAAGUAAAAGUCGUAACAAGGUUUCCGUAGGUGAACCUGCGGAAGGAUCAUUAUCGAAAUUAUAGGUGAGGGUUGUAGCUGGCCUCUCGGGGCAUGUGCACGCCCGAGCCCUUAAUCCACACACACCUGUGAACCUAUUGUAAGGGCCCUUAAAAAAGGCCUUUACGUCUUAUCAUCAACCCAUCGUAUGUCUCAUAGAAUGUAAAUAUAUGUCCUCGCCUUAAAAAGCGUUGAUAAACUUAUACAACUUUCAACAACGGAUCUCUUGGCUCUCGCAUCGAUGAAGAACGCAGCGAAAUGCGAUAAGUAAUGUGAAUUGCAGAUUUUCAGUGAAUCAUCGAAUCUUUGAACGCACCUUGCGCUCCUUGGUAUUCCGAGGAGCAUGCCUGUUUGAGUGUCAUUAAAUUCUCAACUCUGAUCGAUUUGUUUCGACUUCGGAGCUUGGAUUUGGAGCGUGCUGGCGUCGGUCGGCUCCUCUUAAAUGCAUCAGCGGAAUCUAACGUUUCGGACGUCAGUGUGAUAAUCAUGUUGCGCUGUCUGUCUGAUCCGAAAGCCCGCUCACAAUGGUCUUCGGACAACUUCAUAUCAAAUUUGACCUCAAAUCAGGUAGGACUACCCGCUGAACUUAAGCAUAU
rnacentral:rRNA from 1 species